CUGCAUAGACUCCAAAGAAGACUUACAGACAAGCAACAGACACAUGAAAAGAUGUUCAACAUCACUAAUCAUCAGAGAAGUGCAAAUCAAAACCAUAACAAGAUACCACCUCAUACUAGUCAGAAUAGCCUUCAUUAAAAAUCUA